AAGCACGGCUUCGCAGCGCACGCACGGGGAGCUCGCUCCCAUCCACGCUGCGGGGAAAGUCCCCGUGCCUUAGGUCAGAGAGUGUCAGCGGGAGACCGCAGGGCCUUGGCUUGCAUGCAGGCAGUGAAACCUCUGGU
rnacentral:RNase_MRP_RNA from 1 species